rnacentral:rRNA from 1 species
AACGAACGCUGGCGGCAGGCCUAAAACAUGCAAGUUGAACGCUGUAGCAAUACAGAGUGGCGCACGAGUGAGUAACACGUGGGAAUAUGCCUUUUGGUACGGAACAACGUUUGGAAACGAACGCUAAUACCGUAUGGUCCCUCCGGGGUAAAGAUUUAUCGCCAAAAGAGUAGCCCGCGUCUGAUUAGCUAGUUGGUGAGGUAACGGCUCUACCAAGGCGACGAUCAGUAGCUGGUCUGAGAGGACGAUCAGCCACGCUGGGACUGAGACACGGCCCAGACUCCUACGGGAGGCAGCAGUGGGGAAUAUUGCGCAAUGGGCGAAAGCCUGACGCAGCGACGCCGCGUGGGUGAUGAA